UUAUUGUUGAGUUUUACCACUCAUUAGCAGUAGAACGACCUUCCUUAUUCCACACACACUGACUGGAAGGGAAACAAUUACCUGAUCUAGCUGUAAGGGGCCCUUCAAGAAAGGUGGGACUUUCAGGAAAAGAAACAGAAUUGAAGUUUAUUAUUGAAUGGCCUUCCCAGGUUUAGACAUCAAAUCAUUUUGAAAACUUGAAAAAUUCUGCUGAAUAUCUAUCUUCAUCUUUAAGGACUCAAGAUGGGAUUAAUCUCAGAAUAACUUCUAGUCAGUAGAAGUCUGGGCAUCAUUAAAGGGUGAUUUACACUGUUUCUUUAAGGUGUCUGUGUUAGAUGUGAUGAAUCCUCUUUUUGCUGCAUUGACUACAUGUCACGACUGGCCUCAACUAGACAUUUCAAGGCAAAAAUUAUAUUUAACAAAUCUUUACUUUGUAGAAAGUCGAAAUGUUAUGAAAGCUAUAAGACACAGUGAACAAAUGAUAAUGUUUUUUCUUUUUGUUUUCCUUUUUUUUGGGGGGGGGAACGAGAAAUGAAAAACAAUUGACAUAAAGUACAUAUAAAUAUAAGAACGUAUAAAUAAGAUUUUCAGCCAUCCUCUUGCAAAUUAUGUCAGCUGAGAGAUACUAUAAGGGUAAAUGAAUAGCUUACAAAUAGUGAAUAUUAGAAAAGUUUCACAACUUCUGGUAAAACAAGAAGAGGCAAAAUUUGUUCUGAAGGCUAUCGACAAGACUAUUCUGGAUUCAGUAAAACCUUCACAGGAAGUAGUCUGAAAAACACAAUAAUUCAUGGUUCUUCUAGUUACAAGAUGAAAAUAAAAACAAAGCUUCUCUUAUUUAAGUAUUUAUUUAUUUAUUUAUUUGGCUAAAAAUAAACAGUAAUUUGAGCAGAGGAAAUUGUGAAGCAUGCUUUCCUAUUUAUAUGUUAAGACACUAUGAAUGUAUUUAUAUCUAUGUGUAUCCCCAUGCUGUGUCAGAUUUUCCAGCAAAAUCAUUAUUCAGGAUCUUCACUUUCCUCUAUUUACCUGCUGAUUUUCACUUUCCUUGUCUUUUAAACCCCUAAUAAUGUUUUCUUUGUUGUUGCUGAAAUUGCAAACUUCGGAAAAGAUUUAGGAUUCGGACAAAAAGAUACAUGACAGUGAUAAAACAAGACUGCCUUCCUCAGGAAAUUAAACAUCAAGAUGACCCUUGAUGUUAUUUUUGUGCAUCUUGUAUUGUUUCCUAUGAAAAAUCAUAGAGGAAAAUCAUAUUAAAGUUUAAUCUUUCUGUGUAAUCACCAUCUGGGUCCUGCAAACAUUGGCAAAGGUCCCAAACAAAAUGUUGCAGCCUGGAAUGUUCAGGGUGAAAAUUUGGCUGCAUUGAAGUCACUUGUAAUAUUUUUACUGAUUUAUAUGGAACAAGGGGUUCAGUUCAAUGAUAACUGUAAAUCAACCAAUAAUGUAUCAUUAAAAUAUUUUUAUGUUAAAAAAGAGUAAAGGAUAUAAACAGAUUUUCCUUCUCUUUAUACAUUACUUUAAGCAAUUAUAUGUCCUCCUAUGACCUCAAAUUUGAGCUCCUGAGAAGUUCUGAUUAUUCAGAGCACACUUACCAUAGAAAUGGCUUAUACAUCUGUCAUGUUCUUCUAAAAGGCAGAUUUAAAGCCUAUACUGUAUUUAUCAUGCUAAUUCACUUUGAAAUGUAUGUUGAAGCUCCCUCAUGCCUUUCAAAAUGAGUUUGCAUAGUAAAUUUAGCAUGGGUCGAUAUGGCCCACAAACAUUAUCCCUGAAGCAGCUUUAACAAUUAGUGUUGUAGGAAAUAAUGUAGUACACACACUGUAAAAUACACACGCAGUGACAAAAAGGGGGGAAAAUGAAGUAAAAAUGAAGUAGUUCUUCUUUUUGUGCUCCACUGUUUAGUUGUUCUCAGAUUGUGUUUUUUUUUUUUUUAAUUAUUAUUAUUAUUUUUUUUUAUGUAACACCUUUGGAUGUUGUAAGCAUGACUUCAGAAAUAAAAAUAUUCAGCAAUUGUG
ensembl:lncRNA